UACAGAGGUCCCAAGCGUUGUUCGGAUUCACUGGGCGUAAAGGGUGCGUAGGCGGUUAGGUAAGUCUGAUGUGAAAUCUCUGGGCUCAACCCAGAAAUGGCAUUGGAUACUAUCUAGCUAGAGGAGUGGAGGGGGGACUGGAAUACUUGGUGUAGCAGUGAAAUGCGUAGAUAUCAAGUGGAACACCAGUGGCGAAGGCGAGUCCCUGGACACCUCCUGACGCUGAGGCACGAAAGCUAGGGGAGCAAACAGG
rnacentral:rRNA from 1 species